GUCUCUGGCCCUAUCACCCUGAACACACCUCAUCUCGUCUGAUCUCAGAAGCUAAGCAGGGUCAGGCCUGGUUACUAUUUGGAUGGGAGAAACA
rnacentral:rRNA from 1 species